rnacentral:rRNA from 1 species
AACGAACGCUGGCGGCAUGCCUAACACAUGCAAGUCGAACGAGACCUUCGGGUAUAGUGGCGCACGGGUGCGUAACGCGUGGGAACCUGCCCUUAGGUUCGGAAUAACUCCCCGAAAGGGGUGCUAAUACCGGAUAAUGUCUUCGGACCAAAGAUUUAUCGCCUUUGGAUGGGCCCGCGUUGGAUUAGCUAGUUGGUAGGGUAAAAGCCUACCAAGGCGACGAUCCAUAGCUGGUCUGAGAGGAUGAUCAGCCACACUGGGACUGAGACACGGCCCAGACUCCUACGGGAGGCAGCAGUGGGGAAUAUUGGACAAUGGGCGAAAGCCUGAGCCAGCAAUGCCGCGUGAGUGAUGAAGGCCUUAGGGUUGUAAAGCUCUUUUACCCGGGAUGAUAAUGACAGUACCGGGAGAAUAAGCUCCGGCUAACUCCGUG